GAUGAACGCUGGCGGCGUGCCUAAUACAUGCAAGUCGAGCGAACAGACGAGGAGCUUGCUCCUCUGACGUUAGCGGCGGACGGGUGAGUAACACGUGGAUAACCUACCUAUAAGACUGGGAUAACUUCGGGAAACCGGAGCUAAUACCGGAUAAUAUAUUGAACCGCAUGGUUCAAUAGUGAAAGACGGUUUUGCUGUCACUUAUAGAUGGAUCCGCGCCGCAUUAGCUAGUUGGUAAGGUAACGGCUUACCAAGGCAACGAUGCGUAGCCGACCUGAGAGGGUGAUCGGCCACACUGGAACUGAGACACGGUCCAGACUCCGACGGGAGGCAGCAGUAGGGAAUCUUCCGCAAUGGGCGAAAGCCUGACGGAGCAACGCCGCGUGAGUGAUGAAGGUCUUCGGAUCGUAAAACUCUGUUAUUAGGGAAGAACAAAUGUGUAAGUAACUAUGCACGUCUUGACGGUACCUAAUCAGAAAGCCACGGCUAACUACGG
rnacentral:rRNA from 1 species